rnacentral:rRNA from 1 species
CCUACGGGUGGCAGCAGUGAGGAAUAUUGGACAAUGGGCGCAAGCCUGAUCCAGCCAUGCCGCGUGCAGGAUGAAGCAUCUAUGGUGUGUAAACUGCUUUUAUACAGGAAGAAACCCUACCACGUGUGGUAGAUUGACGGUACUGUAGGAAUAAGGAUCGGCUAACUCCGUGCCAGCAGCCGCGGUAAUACGGAGGAUCCAAGCGUUAUCCGGAAUCAUUGGGUUUAAAGGGUCCGUAGGCGGUUUUGUAAGUCAGUGGUGAAAUCUGGUCGCUUAACGAUCAAACGGCCAUUGAUACUGCAAGACUUGAAUUAUUGGGAAGUAACUAGAAUAUGUAGUGUAGCGGUGAAAUGCUUAGAUAUUACAUGGAAUACCAAUUGCGAAGGCAGGUUACUAUCAAUAUAUUGACGCUGAUGGACGAAAGCGUGGGGAGCGAACAGGAUUAGAUACCCCAGUAGUC